UUCUGACUUAGAGGCGUUCAG
rnacentral:ncRNA from 2 species